rnacentral:rRNA from 1 species
UGCUAUCUGCAGUCGAGCGAUCAAUAGGAGCUUGCUCCUGUUGAUUAGCGGCGGACGGGUGAGUAACACGUGGGCAACCUGCCUGUAAGACUGGGAUAACUUCGGGAAACCGGAGCUAAUACCGGAUAAUCCUUUUUCUCUCAUGAGGAAAAGCUGAAAGUCGGUUUCGGCUGACACUUACAGAUGGGCCCGCGGCGCAUUAGCUAGUUGGUGAGGUAACGGCUCACCAAGGCGACGAUGCGUAGCCGACCUGAGAGGGUGAUCGGCCACACUGGGACUGAGACACGGCCCAGACUCCUACGGGAGGCAGCAGUAGGGAAUCUUCCGCAAUGGACGAAAGUCUGACGGAGCAACGCCGCGUGAGCGAUGAAGGCCUUCGGGUCGUAAAGCUCUGUUGUUAGGGAAGAACAAGUACCGGAGUAACUGCCGGUACCUUGACGGUACCUAACCAGAAAGCCACGGCUAACUACGUGCCAGCAGCCGCGGUAAUACGUAGGUGGCAAGCGUUGUCCGGAAUUAUUGGGCGUAAAGCGCGCGCAGGCGGUCCUUUAAGUCUGAUGUGAAAGCCCACGGCUCAACCGUGGAGGGUCAUUGGAAACUGGGGGACUUGAGUGCAGAAGAGGAAAGCGGAAUUCCACGUGUAGCGGUGAAAUGCGUAGAGAUGUGGAGGAACACCAGUGGCGAAGGCGGCUUUCUGGUCUGUAACUGACGCUGAGGCGCGAAAGCGUGGGGAGCAAACAGGAUUAGAUACCCUGGUAGUCCACGCCCGUAAACGAUGAGUGCUAAGUGUUAGAGGGUUUCCGCCCCUUUAGUGCUGCACUAACGCAUUAAGCACUCCGCCUGGGGAGUA